UACGUAGGGGGCAAGCGUUGUCCGGAAUCAUUGGGCGUAAAGCGCGUGUAGGCGGCUUGGUAAGUCCGUUCUGAAAGCCCGGGGCUCAACCCCGGGAGGCGGAUGGAUACUGUCAAGCUUGAGUCCGGAAGAGGCGAGUGGAAUUCCCGGUGUAGCGGUGAAAUGCGCAGAUAUCGGGAGGAACACCAGCGGCGAAGGCGGCUUUCUGGUCCGAUUCUGACGCUGAGGCGCGAAAGCGUGGGGAGCGAUCCGG
rnacentral:rRNA from 1 species